UACGGGGGGGGCAAGCGUUGUUCGGAAUUACUGGGCGUAAAGGGCUCGUAGGCGGCCAACUAAGUCAGACGUGAAAUCCCUCGGCUUAACCGGGGAACUGCGUCUGAUACUGGAUGGCUUGAGUUUGGGAGAGGGAUGCGGAAUUCCAGGUGUAGCGGUGAAAUGCGUAGAUAUCUGGAGGAAUACCAGUGGCGAAGGCGGCUUUCUGGGCCUGUUCUGACGCUGAGGAGCGAAAGCGUGGGGAGCAAACCGG
rnacentral:rRNA from 1 species